AGCAGUAGCCGCGGUAAUACGUAGGGUGCAAGCGUUAAUCGGAAUUACUGGGCGUAAAGCGUGCGCAGGCGGUUAUAUAAGACAGAUGUGAAAUCCCCGGGCUCAACCUGGGAACUGCAUUUGUGACUGUAUAGCUAGAGUACGGCAGAGGGGGAUGGAAUUCCGCGUGUAGCAGUGAAAUGCGUUGAUAUGCGGAGGAACACCGAUGGCGAAGGCAAUCCCCUGGGCCUGUACUGACGCUUAUGCACGAAAGCGUGGGGAGCAAACAGGAUUAGAUACCCCAGUAGUCCCUGUCUCUUAUAA
rnacentral:rRNA from 1 species